AAGUCGUAACAAGGUCUCCGUUGGUGAACCAGCGGAGGGAUCAUUACAGAGUUGCAAAACUCCCAACCAUUGUGAACCUUACCUAGCGAUGCUCUGGUGGGCGGCCCUCGCGGCCGGCAGCCCCCUCGGGGGAGGCACCCCACCGGACUCGUUAAACUCUUAUCAUGGCCUCUCUGAGUAACAAACAAAUAAGUUAAAACUUUCAACAACGGAUCUCUUGGCUCUGGCAUCGAUGAAGAACGCAGCGAAAUGCGAUAAGUAAUGUGAAUUGCAGAAUUCAGUGAAUCAUCGAAUCUUUGAACGCACAUUGCGCCCGCUAGUAUUCUGGCGGGCAUGCCUGUUCGAGCGUCAUUUCAACCAUCAAGCCCCGUGCUUGUGUUGGGGACCUGCGGCCGCCGCAGCCCCCUAAAUCCAGUGGCGGUCUCGUUGUCAUACCGAGUGCAGUAAUCUUCUACGCUUAGGGAAUGGCGGCGGGUUCUGGCCGUUAAAGCACCAAAUUAUCAAGGUUGACCUCGGAUCAGGUAGGAAUACCCGCUGAACUUAAGCAUAUCAAUAAGCGGAGGAAAAGAAACCAACAGGGAUUGCCUCAGUAACGGCGAGUGAAGCGGCAACAGCUCAAAUUUGAAAUCUGGCUUCGGCCCGAGUUGUAAUUUGCAGAGGAAUCUUCUGGUGCGGUGCCGUCCGAGUCCCCUGGAACGGGGCGCCAUAGAGGGUGAGAGCCCCGUAUGGAUGGACGCCAAACCUGUGUGAAGAUCCUUCGACGAGUCGAGUAGUUUGGGAAUGCUGCUCUAAAUGGGAGGUAAAUUCCUUCUAAAGCUAAAUAUAGGCCAGAGACCGAUAGCGCACAAGUAGAGUGAUCGAAAGAUGAAAAGCACUUUGAAAAGAGGGUUAAAUAGCACGUGAAAUUGUUGAAAGGGAAGCGCUUGUGACCAGACUUGCGCCCGGGCGAUCAUCCGGCGUUCUCGCCGGUGCACUCGUCCGGGAACAGGCCAGCAUCGGUUUCCGCCGGGGGACAAAGGUCCCGGGAACGUAGCUCCUUAGGGAGUGUUAUAGUCCGGGGCGUAAUACCCUAGUGGGGACCGAGGACCGCGCAUCUGCAAGGAUGCUGGCGUAAUGGUCAUCAGCGACC
rnacentral:rRNA from 1 species